UACGGAGGGGGCUAGCGUUGUUCGGAAUUACUGGGCGUAAAGCGCACGUAGGCGGAUCAGUUAGUCGGGGGUGAAAUCCCCGGGCUCAACCCCGGAACUGCCUUCGAUACUGCUGGUCUGGAGUCCGAGAGAGGUGAGUGGAAUUCCGAGUGUAGAGGUGAAAUUCGUAGAUAUUCGGAGGAACGCCAGUGGCGAAGGCGGCUCACUGGCUCGGUACUGACGCUGAGGUGCGAAAGCGUGGGGAGCAAACAGG
rnacentral:rRNA from 1 species